rnacentral:rRNA from 1 species
GACGAACGCUGGCGGCGUGCUUAACACAUGCAAGUCGAACGGAAAGGCCCUGCUUUUGUGGGGUGCUCGAGUGGCGAACGGGUGAGUAACACGUGAGUAACCUGCCCUUGACUUUGGGAUAACUUCAGGAAACUGGGGCUAAUACCGGAUAGGAAUCCUUGCUGCAUGGUGGGGGUUGGAAAGCUUCGGCGGUUUUGGAUGGACUCGCGGCUUAUCAGCUUGUUGGUGGGGUAGUGGCUUACCAAGGCUUUGACGGGUAGCCGGCCUGAGAGGGUGACCGGCCACAUUGGGACUGGGAUACGGCCCAGACUCCUACGGGGGGCAGCAGUGGGGAAUAUUGCACAAUGGGCGGGAGCCUGAUUCAGCAACGCCGCGGGCGGGAUGACGGCCUUCGGGUUGGAAACCGGUUUCAGCAGGGGCGAAGCUUGUGGUGACGGUACCUGCAGAAGAAGCACCGGCUAACUACGUG